rnacentral:rRNA from 1 species
UACGUAGGGACCGAGCGUUGUCCGGAUCAUUGGGCGUAAAGAGCGUGUAGGCGGCCAGAUAAGUCCGCUGUGAAAUCUCGAGGCUCAACUUCGAGCUGUCGGUGGAAACUAUCUGGCUAGAGUCCGGAAGAGGAGAAUGGAAUUCCGUGGUGUAGCGGUGAAAUGCGCAGAUAUCAGGAAGAACACCCGUGGCGAAGGCGGUUCUCUGGGACGGUACUGACGCUGAGACGCGAAAGCGUGGGGAGCGAACAGG